rnacentral:misc_RNA from 1 species
CAGAGAACAUCGCCCUCCGGGUGACUCUCCAACCCAGUGUUAUUUUCUACCUUUGUUGCUUUGGCGAGCCGCCUCGGCCACCGGCUCACGCUGGUGAGUGCUCGCCAGAGGACCCAAAACCCUGAAUUUUACAGUAUCGUCUGAGUACUAUAUAAUAGUUUA